GUUCUGUGGUUCCUUAUGUUACCGCCGUCUUCCCAACCGAAAUUCGAAUUGGCGUAUAUCGGAAUAGCCAAACAUGUUCUGGACGCGGGGGCGGUACCCGCCGCCUCCACCAUGAUCAUCUGGGAUGGUUCGAGGCCAUCAAGGCCCUGAUUGAGGGCACAGCACCUGGGCACAGGUGAUCAUGAUGGGGGCGAAUUAGGAUCGACAGGCAUUGGGAAGUGAAGACGCGCCACGGUAAGGAACGACCGACACAUCUGUCCAAGACUCGUAACUGCAAAGUACGAAGCCAGCAACGACAACGUUGCAUUUGAGGACAUCCGCGUAGCGGCUUAACCCUCUUGGGCGCACCUGGGCGCCUCGAAACAGAAGGUGGGACCU
rnacentral:tmRNA from 2 species